rnacentral:ncRNA from 2 species
GCUGUCAAUGGUAGCGUGAGAGCAUAAGGAAUUAACAGCUUUUAACUA